rnacentral:rRNA from 1 species
UACGUAGGGUGCGAGCGUUAAUCGGAAUUACUGGGCGUAAAGCGCACGUAGGCGGCUUUGUAAGUUAGAGGUGAAAGCCCGGAGCUCAACUCCGGAACUGCCUUUAAGACUGCAUCGCUUGAAUCCAGGAGAGGUGAGUGGAAUUCCGGAGUGUAGAGGUGAAAUUCGUAGAUAUUCGGAAGAACACCAGUGGCGAAGGCGGCUCACUGGAGCUGGUAGUUGACGCUGAGGUGCGAAAAGCGGUGGGGAGCGAACAGG